AGCCGCGCGGUGAGCACAGAGCGAACUAUUCUUUCGCCUUUUACUAAAGAAUACCGUGUGCUCGCCGCUUUUAAGCGGCAUACGCCAAUUUUUUUAGGGGCGUUCCUCUGCGAACGCU
rfam:Citrus clementina cultivar Clemenules unplaced genomic scaffold scaffold_8, whole genome shotgun sequence.